rnacentral:tRNA from 1 species
GGUUGUGGCUCAGUGGUAGAGCACUUUCUUAGCACAUGUGAGGCACUGGGUUCGAUCCUCAGCACCA